rnacentral:rRNA from 1 species
UAGGGAAUAUUGCACAAUGGAGGAAACUCUGAUGCAGCGACGCCGCGUGAGUGAUGAAGGCCUUCGGGUCGUAAAGCUCUGUCGCAGGGGAAUAACACAAUGAAGGUACCCUGUAAGAAAGGAUCGGCUAACUUCGUGCCAGCAGCCGCGGUAAGACGAGGGAUCCUAGCGUUGUUCGGAAUCAUUGGGCGUAAAGCGGGUGUAGGUGGCUAUGUAAGUCAGGUGUGAAAGCCUAGGGCUCAACCCUAGAAGUGCAUCUGAUACUGCGUAGCUUGAGUGCUAGAGAGGUUACUAGAAUUGUUGGUGUAGUGGUGAAAUACGUAGAUAUCAACAGGAAUACCGGUGGCGAAGGCGGGUAACUGGCUAGACACUGACACUCAGACCCGAAAGCGUGGGGAUC